UCCAGCCGCGCCGCCUGCCCCCCCGGCCGCCGCCGCGCUUCGCCGGUCGCCGUGGCCGCUCGGCCUUUCCCCAGUACGAAGACUGGCAGGAGGGGCUGGCUGUCCCUUUUCGUCCCCUCUGGCCCCACUGACAGAGAUGCCAGGAGUGACAAGGGAAGCCGGGAUGUUUCCUCGCAGCUCCAUUUAAUUCCUUUUGUCAGCUCCUCUUAAGAGAACUGGACAACUAGAUUUGUGAGUGUUCAAAUUUUUUUGUAACAUAAGUCUUUUUUGUCUUUUUUUUUUUCUUUUGUUUUCCUGAGGAGGCUGGGAGGGUAUUAUAAUACAGUAAGGACCAGGAACAGAGUAAAUACUUUGCAUGAAAAUCCUGGCCCUGGGAAGACGAGUGGCAAAACCUUGCUGUACCACUAGAGGUUCAAAUUAGCAGAUAAAAGCAAGAAGUUCAGAGCAAAGGCAACUCAUUUUCUUUAAACUCCUUCCAGUAUCUGUAGUUGUUAGCUGUUCAGACAGCACACGAAGGAGGAUUUCCUCUAGAGAUAAUAAGCAGUGACAUAUCAAGCGUAGAGAGAGAAAAGAACUUUUUUUUCUUUCUAUUUAUUUCCUGACAAAUUAACUCCGAAUCAGUUUGCUAAAAAUUCAUCCGUCAUAAGCAUUUUUAACCCUUUCUGUAGUAACUCUCGGGCCACACUUGCAAGACUGAAAAGAAAAGCUAUUUUUGCUGCAGCAACCAAACUCCUCUGUGCAUAGAGUGAACUGCUCUUCAAAUCCCAGCUUCUGUGCACUCCUCCCUGCCAUUUUUUCUUCCUUUUCAUCUUGAAAUACAAUAUGCCUUUUGGAACUGAGAAGGUGCAGAGAAGGGUAAGCCCCCCUGGAAUUUCAUCUAGCUUCCCCAAUUUCAUUCUAAUUCUUCUGGGUCUCAUUGCUUAAGGAUCAGUGUUUAAGAAGUCUGUUUACAGCUGUUACUGUUUUCCAAAAUGGGUUGGCCCACUGGUGGGUUUUGGCAGUGACCAAGUGAAGAUAAUUGAGCUGAUGCUCUAGCUGGGAAAUUCUUGCUGGAGGUCUGACCGACACU
rnacentral:lncRNA from 1 species